rnacentral:rRNA from 1 species
GGUGAUCGGCCACAUUGGAACUGAGACACGGUCCAAACUCCUACGGGAGGCAGCAGUGGGGAAUAUUGCACAAUGGGCGAAAGCCUGAUGCAGCAACGCCGCGUGGGUGAUGAAGGCCUUCGGGUCGGAAAACUCUGUCCUCAAGGAAGAUAAUGACGGUACUUGAGGAGGAAGCCCCGGCUAACUACGUGCCAGCAGCCGCGGUAAUACGUAGGGGGCUAGCGUUAUCCGGA